AUCAGUGAUUGUCCCAGGUACUGGUAGACUGCCUCUGAGGAGCCCAUUGGUAUUUGUCAAUACGUCAACUCCCCGAAAGGCCCGCUUUAAACUGCCUUUGCAAAUGAUGAGCUCUUCUGAAAAAAAUAACAUUACCAGAAUAACUGAGAGCGGAAUAAAGAAUUUAGAUCUAGAGCAUACAGGGCCACGUAUAUCUUCUAUAGCUGACUCUUUUAAAAGGCGUAAUGUUGCUGCAGAAAAACAGCAUAUGUCAGCUGAAAAAGUUUUGGAAAUGAUACAAAAUGAGGCAGACAGUGAGACCAGCCAAAAACAAACACUACGUAAGUAUUUCUGCAAAUUUUGACAAUGAUAUUUUUA
rnacentral:lncRNA from 1 species